UGGGGAAUAUUGCACAAUGGGCGAAAGCCUGAUGCAGCAACGCCGCGUGAGGGACGACGGCCUUCGGGUUGUAAACCUCUUUUAGCAAGGAAGAAGCGAAAGUGACGGUACUUGCAGAAAAAGCGCCGGCUAACUACGUGCCAGCAGCCGCGGUAAUACGUAGGGCGCAAGCGUUAUCCGGAAUUAUUGGGCGUAAAGAGCUCGUAGGCGGUUUGUCGUGUCUGCUGUGAAAACCCGAGGCUCAACCUCGGGCCUGCAGUGGGUACGGGCAGACUAGAGUGCGGUAGGGGAGAUUGGAACUCCUGGUGUAGCGGUAGAAUGCACAGAUAUCAGGAAGAACACCGAUGGCGAAGGCAGAUCUCUGGGCCGUAACUGACGCUGAGGAGCGAAAGGGUGGGGAGCAAACAGGCUUAGAUACCCUGGUAGUCCACCCCGUAAACGUUGGGAACUAGUUGUGGGGUCCAUUCCACGGAUUCCGUGACGCAGCUAACGCAUUAAGUUCCCCGCCUGGGGGAGUACGGCCGCAAGGCUAAACUCAAAUGAAUUGACGGGGUCAUAGCUGUUUCCU
rnacentral:rRNA from 1 species